UGGGGAAUCUUGCGCAAUGGGCGAAAGCCUGACGCAGCCAUGCCGCGUGAGUGAUGAAGGCCUUAGGGUUGUAAAACUCUUUCACCGGGGACGAUAAUGACGGUACCCGGAGAAGAAGCCCCGGCUAACUUCGUGCCAGCAGCCGCGGUAAUACGAAGGGGGCUAGCGUUGCUCGGAAUUACUGGGCGUAAAGGGCGCGUAGGCGGAUCAGCAAGUUGGGGGUGAAAGCCCGGGGCUCAACCUCGGAAUUGCCUUCAAAACUGCUGAUCUAGAGUACGGGAGAGGUGUGUGGAACUCCGAGUGUAGAGGUGAAAUUCGUAGAUAUUCGGAAGAACACCAGUGGCGAAGGCGACACACUGGCCCGUUACUGACGCUGAGGCGCGAAAGCGUGGGGAGCAAACAGGAUUAGAUACCCUGGUAGUCCACGCUGUAAACGAUGAUUGCUAGUUGUCGGCAGGCAUGCCUGUCGGUGACNCAGCUAACGCAUUAAGC
rnacentral:rRNA from 1 species